CCCCACCAUAAAAGAAAGAACACAUCUAAAGGCUUUUCACAUAACCUUCUGGAAUUAUUAUUCAUCCUCAUUUCAUCCAUUCAUCCAUGUGGACUUCUUUCAAAAAAGAGUAGCCUUGCUGAAAAAAUGUCUCUCUGCCUUGUCCCUCUUCUGCCUCACAAUGCCCCUGACUCUGCUGCCUGGCUCCCCAAGCAAAGGCAAGGAAUGUUCAGGUGGUUGUGACAUCCCAGGCAAAAACAGCAGCUUGACUUUGAUGCACCCAUGGCAGCCAACAAAAGCUUUUCCACCGAGAGGGUUCAGGCUUCCAUCCUUUCUCAAACAACAAUCUCUUCACAGCCUUGUGCAUUAUCUUCCCUUCUGAAAAGACUUUUGUGCACGGGGAUGACUCCUGCUGCUCCUGAGAGAUCCUCAUGUCCUGUGACGUGGCAUUGUUGGGCCCUAACAGCACAGAAGAGCUGCAGAUGUGAGCCAGUACCUGCAGCCCUCAGGUGCUCAUCACACAGAGGGGGAGCAGCUCCUACAGAACAGCAUGUGGAUGUCAGCAGCAUCUGAGUGUACAAAAUGAAGAAAUUCUUCCUUUUACACUUUGUUUGGAUGCUCCAUCUGCAGCAGUGGAACAGGGAAGAAAUAAAACUGCUGAAUAACAGAGUCCUUAACAUUGCAGGCACUAAUAAUAGGAUUAGAGAGAGAAUAAAAUCAUAUCCUCUUGGAUUUGGAACAUUUGGAGGAAGCCAGCUUGUGACUCACUCUUCCAACAAGUUGAGAUCAGGCAUGUCACCGUGCUGACCUUCUGAAGGAGGAUCAGCCCAGCAGCCAGCACUGCCCAGGUGGUUCCAGCCCAUCCCUCCUGGAGCAGUGUGAGCAGAGGUGAUGCUACAUCACAGGCCCUGAGGCUCUUGCAGCAUGUCAGGCACUGCCAGCAUGCGAGGGAGGGAACUGGGUACGGGGGAGAGCAGAAGAAAUGCACACAAAGUGAGACACCUGCACUGUCUGUGCUCAUGGACACACUUCUGUCAGUGGGGGGAAGCACAGACACUCAGAUUGUCUCACCACUGGGGGAAGAAGGCUUCAAACCAUGAGCAUGGACCCAGGGGUUGCAGAGAAAGGAGACCAAAAAGCUUACACCACCUGAGCCAACAGCCCAGGAAGGAAUUAUAACCUUCCCAGUGCUGAGCGGGUAUCUGCUCAGUGGACACAAAGGUUCCCAUUGCAUCAUCAUGGGUAUCAUUUAGACUAAGAGAACUUACUAAAACCAGUAGAUGCAAGAAGAUGAGAAUUGGCAAAAAAAAGGGUUAUUUCUGUAUCAAGUACGGUUUGGGUACAGAAUUUUAAGGGAACCAAACAGACAGAGCAGUGUCCAGUUUCUAAUAUAAAGAUCCUAUCAUCCCCCACCUCAGUGAGAAAACUUUUCCAUGGUUAAGUGUGUCUUGUUAAGCAGUGAAUCUAGCCAAUCACAACAGAGUGCAAAGGGAAAAAAACCAUAAUAUUGCAAGAGGGAAAAUAACAGAGUAUGAUUAUUGAAUAGAAUAAUAAACAGCAGUGUGCACAUAGGCUCAAAAUAAAAUAAACAGCAUUGUUAAACUAAUGGCAAGGUACAACAUUCUUCUUCAAAUCAUCUUUUGCUUCAGCUUACUACAGAACAGGGUCUGGAAAAAAGCAUCUUCCUUAUUUAAAAAAUACAAUACAAAACAAAACAAAACAAAACCACAAAAACAAAACAAAACAAAAAACAAAACCAACAAAAGCCCACAAAAAACACCCAAACCCUGGCUGCAGCAUUUCCAAAACUGCUGCCUCAACCUGUUGGCAAAUGCCGACUUUAGAACAGCAACUAGUGUAUGUCUUCUUUUGUUCUGAGUUCUGAGAGCCACAGUGGGUGACUAAUGAAUAUUAGGAGCAAGAUUUUAAAAGAUGCUUGGUUAUAUCAUGAGAUAUAAUUUUUUCCCCUUAGAAUGGUGCUAGUGAACAAUAAGUGAGCAUUGAGGGAGCAGCUCUUAACAGCCGUGCACAAAACAAAAGAAAGACUGUGUUCCCAUCUAUUACUAAACUAAUGAAAUAGAAUAGAAAAAGCCAUAAGGCAAAAUGAAAAAAAAUCCCUCCUG
rnacentral:lncRNA from 1 species